UACGAAGGGGGCUAGCGUUGCUCGGAAUGACUGGGCGUAAAGGGCGCGUAGGCGGAUGGCACAGUCAGAUGUGAAAUUCCCGGGCUUAACCUGGGGGCUGCAUUUGAUACGUGUUGUCUUGAGUUCGGAAGAGGGUCGUGGAAUUCCCAAUGUAGAGGUGAAAUUCGUAGAUAUUGGGAAGAACACCGGUGGCGAAGGCGGCGACCUGGUCCGACACUGACGCUGAGGCGCGAAAGCGUGGGGAGCAAACAGG
rnacentral:rRNA from 1 species